GACGAACGCUGGCGGCGUGCUUAACACAUGCAAGUCUACGAGAAAGUGUCUUUAGGGAUGCGAGUAAAGUGGCGCACGGGUGAGUAACACGUAAGCAAUCUACCCUUAGGCCUGGGAUAACCCCGAGAAAUCGGGGCUAAUACCGGAUGAUGCAGCGGCACCGCAUGGUGAUGUUGUUAAAGUCUAUAUGGCGUCUAGGGAUGAGCUUGCGUCUGAUUAGCUUGUUGGUGAGGUAACGGCUCACCAAGGCUGCGAUCAGUAGCUGGUCUGAGAGGAUGAUCAGCCACACUGGAACUGAGACACGGUCCAGACUCCUACGGGAGGCAGCAGUGAGGAAUAUUGGGCAAUGGGCGAAAGCCUGACCCAGCAACGCCGCGUGGAGGAUGAAUGUCGUAAGAUUGUAAACUCCUGUUAGAGGGGAAGAAUAAUUCCGAUCGAAUCGGAACUUGACUGUACCCUCAGAGAAAGCUCCGGCUAACUACGUGCCAGCAGCCGCGGUAAUACGUAGGGAGCAAGCGUUGUCCGGAUUUACUGGGUGUAAAGGGCGCGCAGGCGGGUCAGUAAGUCAGAGGUGAAAUCCUACAGCUCAACUGUAGAACUGCCUUUGAUACUGCCGAUCUUGAGUAUGGAAGAGAGAGACGGAAUUCCAGGUGUAGUGGUGAAAUACGUAGAUAUCUGGAAGAACACCAGUUGCGAAGGCGGUCUCUUGGUCCAAUACUGACGCUGAGGCGCGAAAGCGUGGGUAGCAAACAGGAUUAGAUACCCUGGUAGUCCCAGCCGUAAACGAUGGGCACU
rnacentral:rRNA from 1 species